AACAUAAAAGAGAUCCGAUGAUGUAUAAAAAUCGAAACAGUUGAAGAGCUAAAUCACUUAAACUGCCCUAUAAAUAAUAGCAGUAUGCAUAUAAGUUUCCUUAGCAAUAGCGGCUGUCAAAUGUGAAGUUUUAGGUGAAGACUUUGCUCAAGUAACUGGUACGUAUACCUAGUGCUGGAUUAAGUCGUCUUUGUCAAGGAGCGACCGGAUAAUAUGGAUGAUUAUUUAUGGUAUAGGAUGGGAGUUACUUUCGUUUGUCGUGACGAGUGUAAUGUUUGUUUAUCUGAAAUACUACAUGUGGCGUCAGAAAAAAAGAUUUAAUCAACGCCGAUUCAGCGACGUAUCCCUUCGACUGAGGGCUGAGGACGAAAACUAUCUCUACCUAUGGUUGAUUGGGUAUUGCCUAAGGAUGUGGGGG